AUUGAACGCUGGCGGCAGGCCUAACACAUGCAAGUCGAGCGAGCGGCGGACGGGUGAGUAAUGUGUGGGAAACUGCCUGAUGGAGGGGGAUAACUACUGGAAACGGUAGCUAAUACCGCAUACCAUCAGAUGUGCCCAGAUGGGAUUAGCUUGUAGGUGGGGUAACGGCUCACCUAGGCGACGAUCCCUAGCUGGUCUGAUAGGAUGACUAGCAACAUGGGAAUGGUGACGCGGUCCCACCUCCUGCGGGUGUCGUCAGUGGGCAAUAUUGCACAAUGGGCGCAAGCCUGAUUCAGCCAUGCCGCGUGUGUGAAGAAGGCCUUCGGGUUAUAAAGCACUUUCAGCGGGGAGGCGUUACCCGCAGAAGGAGCACCGGCUGACUCCGUGCGAGCAGCCGCGGUAAUAC
rnacentral:rRNA from 1 species